UGUCAUUGUAACAAAGCAAUGGUUUCUGAGCAUUUAUGGUUUCCGAGGAUUACGACGUCUUUGGAAGUGGGACUGGGGAUCAUUAUUUCACCUGCCACACACAGCAAGCACAAGUAAAUGGAAUCUGCGGAGAAAAUUAAGAACAGAGACGGACUUUCUUGCAUUAUUAACAUGAAGCAAUGAUGGUUCUAGUACGUGGUCAGCAUCUGUAGAACACAUUAUUUCAGAGAAUCCUCUCAACUGACAUUUUUACAAAGGAAGACAGAGAGGCUCAUUGUCAAGAAACCAACAGGCAAGUUGCAAACCCAUGACUGUGUUUUCAAAGCAAAUCCAUGAUCUUGCCUCCAAAGCUUCUGUGUGAAGCCACAGUGGGACACUGUCCCCCUAGAAUUCUGAGCUGACCCAUUUUACAGUGUGUGGAAAUCCUCUGUUAUGGAACACAAGAUUUUCAGGGUCCUUCAUAGCCCCACUGCUACCUCUGAAGGACGGAGGUCUCAAAUAACUGCAUUUUCUCAAGGUCUGGAUCCGCAGCGCCGGACCUACGUGUUGCUGGUCUAUGGAAAGUCUAAAAGGCUCAUGCGGAGCUGCUGGCAGAUGGAGCUGUGCACCAGCUGUUGGUGCUUCUGAAAAUGGGUGGUCUGGAGCAGUCUGUGGGGAAGACCCGCAUCGUGGAGGAUGAGAGUCAUCACGGCCUUCGCAGAGCACAGAAAGGACAGCAUGCCAUGUCCUUGGGCAUUUGUCCCUUCCAUGAGGACACUGUCAUUCCUUACGGUGAGGUUACCUCAUGAGCCACCAAGCAGUUCUGGCAAGGCUCACACCAUGACUCCAAUGUCCCAUCAAGGUCAGAUACGCUCUACUUGGCUGACUUCCUGUUGGCUUUGUGUUGGCAUCACUCUUCCCGUCUUUCACACACGCCUCCAUGUAUGGAACGUGGCCUGACAUCACUGUUGCCGAGUUUGAGAACGCUUCCAGGGAAGCUCGGAUUUGCUCUUACUUUCUCGUCCAAGAAAUACAUUAAAGUAUUGGGAAAAGAAUUCUAGCAACUCCACCACUAGUUGGCAACUUUUGCAUUUCUUAAGAAUAGUCUUCAACUUAGUUGGAAUCAUAUUUCUUGUGUGGGAAUGGAUUUAAGACAAAAAAAUAUAUUGAACAUUUGGGCAUGGGCCUUGAUUUUUCAACAUACAUCUUUCAUGUGUUAAGACUGAUGAUGCAUAUCCUCCUCCACCCCUGGGAUCUUCCUUUUCUUAAGCAUUAAAUUGCCCGCUCGGAUGUAUAAAGUAUCCACUACCUUGAAUGGAUGUGCUCAUUAGCAAUGGCAAAAUUUAUGGACAUACAUGGAGAAGGAAAGGAAGAGUAAAAUCCCAUUUUAUUUAGGUAUUUUAUGUUUACAAAAAGUAAAAAAAAUGAAGAUAAAGUGACUUUCUUUAAGUGACAAUUUAGGAAUGAAAGGCAUGCGUGCACUAAGUAGAAGAAGAAAAGCUGUCUUAUUCAUGGCUCUCCAGCAGAUGCUCCACACCAAUCGUUCUUAAGCCCUGCUAUCCACAAGCUCCUGAUUUCAAGCUCCAUGGUCAGCCUUUGCCCUUACACAGGCCUCUCUCACAUGCCUCCAUCCACCUCUAACCCAGUUCACCUUGUAGGCCAAUACCACCAAAUAGUUCUUUAAACCGGCCAACUCUAGUAACUGCUUAUAAGCUCUUGUGAUAUUUCCGUUCCCUACUUAGUGGUUCUCAAAGCAUAUUUACUGUGUCAGCAGCAACAGCAUCCCCUCUAUAGUUGCUAAGAGAUCAAGAAGAAGGGCGAUGAAUCA